CAGCAGCCGCGGUAACACCGGCGGCUCGAGUGGUAACCGUUAUUAUUGGGUCUAAAGGGUCUGUAGCCGGCCGGAUAAGUCUCUUGAGAAAUCCAGCAGCUCAACUGUUGGGCUUUCAGGAGAUACUGUUCGGCUCGAGGCCGGGAGAGGUGAGAGGUACUUCAGGGGUAGGGGUGAAAUCUUGUAAUCCUUGAAGGACCACCAGUGGCGAAGGCGUCUCACCAGAACGGACCUGACGGCAAGGGACGAAAGCUAGGGGCACGAACCGGAUUAGAUACCCGGGUAGUCCUAGCCGUAAACGAGACUCGCUAGGGGGCGGCCACGGUGCGACCGUUGUCGGUGCCGUAGGGAAGCCGUGAAGCGAGCCACCUGGGAAGUACGGCCGCAAGGCUGAAACUUAAAGGAAUUGGCGGGGGAGCACCACAACGGGUGGAGCUUGCGGUUUAAUUGGAUUCAACGCCGGAAAUCUUACCGGGACCGACAGCAAUAUGAAGGCCAGGCUGAAGACUUUGCCGGAUUAGCUGAGAGGAGGUGCAUGGCC
rnacentral:rRNA from 1 species